rnacentral:lncRNA from 1 species
AUGCCAAAGCCUUUGACUGUGUGUAUGGAUGACAAUAAACUGUGGAAAAUUCUGAAAGAGAUGGGAAUACCAGACCACCUCACUGGCCUCUUGAGAAACCUAUAUGCAGGUCAGGAAGCAACAGUUAGAACUGGACAUGGAACAGACUGGUUCCGAAUAGGAAAAGGAGUACAUCAAGGCUGUAUAUUGUCACUCUGCUUAUUUAACUUAUAUGCAGAGUACAUCAUGAGAAACGCUGGGCUAGAAGAAGCACAGGCUGGAAUUAAGAUUGCCAGGAGAAAUAUCAAUAACUUCAGAUAUGCAGAUGACACCACCCUUAUGGCAGAAAGUGAAGAGGAACUAAAGAACCUCUUGAUGAAAGUGAAAGUGGAGAGUGAAAAAGUUGGCUUAAAGCUCACCAUUCAGAAAACAAAGAUCAUGGCAUCCGGUCCCAUCACUUCAUGGGAACUAGAUGGGGAAACAGUGGAAACAGUGUCAGACUUUAUUUUUUUGAGCUCCAAAAUCACUGCAGAUGGUGAUUGCAGCCAUGAAAUUAAAAGACACUUGCUCCUUGGAAGAAAAGUUAUGACCAACCUAGAUAGCAUAUUCAAAAGCAGAGACAUUGCUUUGUCAACAAAGGUCCCUCUAGUCAAGGCUAUGGUUUUUCCAUGGUCAUGUAUGGAAUGUGAGAGUUGGACUGUGAAGAAAGCUAAGCACCAAAGAAUUGAUGCAUUUGAACUGUGGUGUUGGAGAAGACUCUUGAGAGUCCCUUGGACUGCAAGGAGAUCCAACAAGUCCAUUCUAAAGGAGAUCAGUCCUGGGUGUUCAUUGGAAGGACUGAUGCUAAAGCUGAAAUGCCAAUACUUUGGCCACCUCAUGAGAAGAGUUGACUCAUUGGAAAAGACUGAUGCUGGGAGGGAUUGGGGGCAGGAGGAGAAGGGACAACAGAGGAUGAGAUGGCUGGAUGGCAUCACCGACUCAGUGGGCAUGAGUUUGAGUGAACUCCUGGAGUUGGUGAUGUAG